GUAUAAUGAUCCGAUGAUACUUUUGUGUGAAUCAGUAGUGCAUUUGAACAAUUCUCUGAUGAGAUUUUUGGGGUUUUCUGAGAUCGAAAGGUCGGUGAUGGUUUUUACUCCCAUUAGGGUUCUUCCGAGCCUUUAUCUUCACGAUCUGUGACUGUUCUUCGUUUAUUGAACGGUUCAAUCGAUUGUUGUGAAAUUUUCGGAGGUUUUUCGGCGAGUUUUCAACCUCUAGGGUUUCUGGUGGUCAAAUCGGUCGUUUGACUGCCAUCCGGUGGUUU
rnacentral:lncRNA from 1 species